rnacentral:rRNA from 1 species
UGGCGAUGGCCGUCGUCAGUUCGUACUGUGAAGCAUCCUGUUAAGUCAGGCAACGAGCGAGACCCACGCCAACAGUUGCCAGCAUGUCCUCCGGGAUGAUGGGGACACUGUUGGGACCGCCUCUGCUAAAGAGGAGGAAGGAAUGGGCAACGGUAGGUCAGCAUGCCCCGAAUUAUCCGGGCUACACGCGGGCUACAAUGGUCAGGACAAUGGGUAUCGACACCGAGAGGUGGAGGCAAUCUCCUAAACCUGUCCUUAGUUCGGAUUGUGGGCUGCAACUCGCCCACAUGAAGCUGGAAUCCGUAGUAAUCGCGUUUCAAAAUAGCGCGGUGAAUAUGUCCCUGCUCCUU